rnacentral:lncRNA from 1 species
AUAGCUGGCACCACCGUUGCAGCAGCGGAUUACGGGACCACAGCCGGUGGGAACACGGACAUUGGCUCGAGUCUCAUAAGGUUGGGGACCACCACGGCGGGUGAUGUCUCACUCACUCUAGGGCUACGCCAUGCUGGAAACAUGCCUGAGAAUACCUCUUCUUUCUCAGUUAGAGACUUCGGGGGCUGUUAAUUAAUUCAAUUCCAAACAUACAUUUCAUAGUAUCCUCUUAAAAUAGAAAACAAUAAUCCCAUUUUGAUUUUUUUUUUUCACCCUAUUUUCUUCAAUUCUAUUAAGAAAAAAGAAGGUGUUGCACAAUGAUCAAAACCUUAGCAUUAAGUUAGCUAGUUGUAUUUGGCUUUAUUACUAUAAUUGUAUAGUAGAAUGGUUUUACUUCUCUAUCAUCAUGUACUUAAUGUCCUUGUACCUUUAUAUUUUCUAGAAUAACAUGAAAUAUUCACUUUUUUUUUGAGAGGAGAAAAAAAAAGGGAAAGUUUUAGAUGUUGUUAUUGUUGUUUUAAUUAAAUUUGAUAGUUAAUCUUUCAAAAGCAGGAUAGUUAUAUUUAAACAAAAAUGUUAAUUAAAAUAUUAAAUUUUAUAAUAAUUUUGAUGUGACAGUUCAUCUAUAAUUCAUAUUAAUAUUGUACUAUAUAUAUAUUAAAUAUCAUGUCAUGUUUAAAAAUUUAAACAUUUUAAUUAGUAUUUUUAUUAAAAUAAUAAUAAUUCAACUCUUUUAAGAAGUUAAUGAUUAAAUUCAACUAUCUUUUAAAAGUUUAGGCUAAAUUUAACUCUAAAAUGUAUAAGUACCAAAUUAACAAAAGAUAUGAAAAAGAAUUAACCUUAUAUGUUCCUCUAUAUGGGGGAAUUAAAAAAGUAUGGUAUUUCUAAUAUUUUAAAUUAUUUUUGUAUUAAUUAGUAGAGUGCAGACAGUGAAAGGCACGUCAAUUUGGGUCACCUUAAUUAGGUAUCAACAUGGGGUUUAUUAAUGAUUUGAUAUUUAAACAAGUUUUUCUAUAAAUGGUUGAUAUAUGUUGAUGAAGGGAUUUUAGCUUUGAAUGGAAAAACACGACAAAAUUACAAGUAAAUAAAUUCUUUCAUGCAUUCUACAUAUUUAAUAAUAACUUUUUGCAGGGCUGCCAUUAAUUGCUUAUGGAUAUGAUGUCUAAUAAGUAAAAAAAAAAAAUUAACAUAAUUUUCCUUCUCAAAUUUAAUUUGUUGGACUUUCGACUUCAUAUUUCACGAAAACUAUAAAAUAUGUCCAAACAUAUCAACUUAUUGUAGCAUAUAAAUUGUUGGAUUACUAAAUUUUGCUAAUUCAUUAAUUAUUUAUUUAUAAUGUUUAAUAAUCAUUUUCAAAUAGACUGUUCAUAAAAUUAGAAGACCAAAUAUUAAGAAAUUAAAUAUAACGAAAUAUUAUGUGAAUGAGCAUGCUACCACUUACUAUUUAAUCUCUACGACUCUAUCCCUGUCGUCUUUUUUUUGUUUUUUCAGUUUUGGUAGUCACUAUUUUGAUUAUAUCCGUAACCGAAAAAUCGUAAACAAGUGGAUGAAUUAUUAAAUGGAAAAAACAAAUGAGUAGCAAAUGGGAGUAAAAAGCAUUAGGGUUUGUUGACAAAGAGAAAAGAAAGAGCAUAAAACAUGAAAGUAGCCAUUGUUACCUAAAAGGUAAUUGCCUGCCAAGAAGUGGCUGGUAAAAGUCAUUGUUAAACAUAACCCCCCAAAACCAAUCCAUUCUUUUUUCUUUUUUUUUGUCUUCUUUUGCUCAGCUAAAGGUUUUGUUGUUCUUGUUGUUGCUGCAUUUGUUUACCUGAUAAUUCAAAGGUUGGUUCCUUAAAAUACAAAACAAAUGAUUUGCAAAGCAACAAGUACUCUUUACCUAAUAUGUUGCUUUUCCUUUGAGAAAAACAAUAUAAAAAAA